CGUGCCCUAUUCCACCCUAAUCGUCGAAUCCUUCCUCACCUUAUCUCGUCGCCGCCCCGAUUCUUCCUCCUCUCUCACGCCGUUUACUCUAUGCUCUUCUUCUUCUCCUCAUCUUCUCCAACCGGCGCCCCUUUCUCUUCUUCCGCGUCAUCUUCCCUCCUCUGCCGUCGUCUCCUCGUCGCGGAGGUCCUCACCACGCCGAUUGUCACGAGAGCACCGCUAGCAGCAGUCCUUCUCUCCGCGAGCCUCACCAACACCAAGCUCUCUGGGCUAUCAGGCGGCCCGAUCCUCUUCUACUUUUCCCCUUGAGUCUCUGCCCUAGAUGCAGCCGGCGUCAUCGCAUCCGACCACAGUACCUGCAAUUUUGGGCGGCUAGCGUCGCCGCCAUCUCUUUCACCGGCUGCCACUUCUUCCUCUUCCAUCUGCCACCGUCGGAGAGCUGAGUACACAGGAGAGUAGGGUUGUUCUUCCGCGUAUCAGCAGUUGCGAGGGGUUACCACGCGUUGCCCCCUUCAAUUGUGCCGUGGCCAUCCGGUCAACCACAAGGAGAUCCAUUGCUGCGGUGACCCCAUUUGUGCUUGGAUUUGUGCCACUGUCGUGUAUCGGUGAAUUCUGAGGCGGUGAGGGUUGUUGGACAGAUUUACCAUCGUCGGAAGAGCCACAAACUGCUGAUAAGGGUAGUAAUCUGAACCUGAUCAGAUUUAUUAGGUUGUUUCUUUUAUCAUGUUGGAUGUGUGUUAUGUUUCUUAUUGAAUGCUUAUAUCAAACUUGAUCUCCCUUAAUUAGAAUGCACGCACUUGGCUUUAAUUGUUUCAUGCACCCAACUUGUUUGAUAAAAUGUUCCGUAGUUAGGUUCUAAUUUUUGCAUGUCAUGUGUUCAUUUCACGUUCGGUGAAAUGUCUCUUUCAAUAGUUAGGUUCAAUCUGAUGCAUCUUAGUUUACUUAACUCUUGCUUUGUAUUGCUCUUUCAAUUGUUAAGUUUUAUGUCUUCAUUUAAAUUCAAUUAGGUUAAGUUAGAUUAGGUUUCUUUAAUGCUCUAAGUUUUGUUCCAUGCUUAGUUUCGUUAAUUACUUCAUGUUGACUAUUAUUUUCUGCAAUUGUAUUUUAUUCAUUAGGUUUGAUUUCAUAGUUGCUUUGCUAUUUCAAAUCUUAGUCUUAGAAUCCAAAAUUUUCUAUUAUCUUGUAUUUGAUUUUGUUAUAUGUACUUAGAGAUUCUAAGUUUAAGAUUCAAAUUUGAAGAAAAUCCUACUUAAGUAUUUGUUCACACUGACCUAAUUUUUAUGGUUUUGUGAUGCCUAUUGUUUCAGAGCCAAAAGAGUCUUCAUGACUUGUUAAUUCUUUAGCAUUGACAACUAUGGACUAAUUAGUGGGUGAUCAUUGAUAUUGAUUAUGACUUUUGUAUAAUUUUAAUUUAUUUGUAUUAAAAAUUUUGAUAUUGUAAGACUUGUUUCAUAUUUUGAUUUGUUAGAUUUUCUCAACAAAAUUGGUUGGUUCAUUAAUCUGUACAAGAGAAGCAAUUUAUCUCAUGGAAUUCGAAGACAGGGAGGGCAAAAGAAGAAAAUGAAGGCAUGCAUGUUAUUAGCUCGAGGAUAGAGGAACAAAUUAUUGAAAGAGAAAAAAAACUUGUUAUUAUAGAGGGAAGAAAAUCUCAAGGAGAUGAUUCGGAAAUGAUUCAAGAAAUGGAAUAUACAAAUCAUUUAUAUCUAGGAAAAUUUGAUCUUUAUAGUUUGAUUAUUGGUCAAAUUUGUUUGGAUAAUGUAAAUAUUUAUUUAUUUUAAUAUUAAUUGUAUAAUACAUUUGGAAUUA